GCUGGGGUUGUGGCUCAGUGGUAGAACACUCAUCUAGCACGUGAGAGGCCCUGGGUUCGAUCCUCAUCCUCAGCA
rnacentral:tRNA from 1 species